CCCUUGCACAAUAUCCUCGCAGAUCGAGUUGACUGAGGCCAUCAGACUGUAUGACUUGAACAAGGACUCUGAGAUCACCCUCCAUGUAUUCCCCAAUGUUCCGGAGAGGCCAGGAAUGCCAUGUGCUGGGGAAGACCGAAACAUGUACCGACGUGGAGCUCGGCGAUGGAGGAAGCUGUACAGAGUUAACGGCCACCUCUUCCAGCCCAAACGCUUCUCCAGGAAGGCGUUUUGCUCAUUCUGUACAGACCGGAUCUGGGGGCUGGGUCGUCAAGGUUUCAAGUGUAUCCAGUGUAAACUCCUCGUGCAUAAACGCUGCCACAAACUUGUAAAGAAAGCGUGUGGUGGGCCAGUGGAGCCGUUACAGGGCCCAGCAUACGACAGUGACAAGAGUAACAGCGGUGCUGGCAGCGGCAUUGAAGAGAACGGCAACUCCCAUCAGAACAAUGUCUCAGUUUCAGGAGCAGCCUCUAACACUGUAUCCUACGAGCCAGGCAAGGAGGAGGAGGAAGAAACACCUGCUUUUACUGAGACUGUGCAAGUUGAUACAUCACCAGGUGAUGAUGGCAAGCAAAUGACAAUGGAUGAGUUCCAGUUGCUCCGUGUGAUUGGAAGGGGGAGUUACGCCAAAGUGCUGCAGGUGGAACACAAGAGGAGCAAACGUAUCUACGCCAUGAAGGUCAUAAAGAAGGAGUUGGUCAAUGAUGAUGAGGAUAUCGACUGGGUUCAGACAGAGAAACACGUGUUUGAAACUGCCACAAACUACCCCUUCCUUGUAGGACUUCAUUCCUGCUUCCAGUCUCCCAGCAGGCUGUUCUUUGUGAUAGAGUUUGUCAAUGGCGGUGACCUCAUGUUCCACAUGCAAAGACAGCGCCGUCUGCCAGAAGAACAUGCCAGGUUCUAUGGCGCCGAGAUCUGUCUGGCACUGAACUACUUACAUGAGAGAGGGAUAGUGUACCGAGAUCUGAAGCUGGACAAUGUGCUGCUAGAUGCUGAAGGCCACAUCAAACUGACUGACUACGGCAUGUGCAAGGAGGGGCUGGGCCCAGGAGAUACCACAGGGACAUUUUGCGGCACGCCAAACUAUAUUGCACCAGAAAUACUACGAGGCGAGGAAUAUGAUUUCAGUGUAGAUUGGUGGGCUCUAGGAGUCUUGAUGUUUGAGAUGUUAGCAGGACGAUCGCCAUUUGAUGUUGUCGGUAAUGCUGACAACCCUGACCAGAAUACAGAGGACUACUUAUUCCAGAUUAUUCUUGAGAAGACAAUCAGAAUCCCUCGCUCCCUGUCAGUGAAGGCUGCAUCUGUCCUGAAGGGAUUCCUUAACAAGAGCCCAAAGGAACGGCUCGGGUGCCACCCCCAGACCGGGUUUGCAGACAUCCAGUCUCAUCCAUUCUUCCGUUCCAUUGACUGGGACAUGAUGGAAAGGAAGCAGAUUGCUCCCCCGUACAAACCUGUCAUCAAGUCGGACCGGGACCUGGAACACUUCGACCCUGCCUUCACCAACGAGCCUGUUCAACUCACACCCGAUGACCCAAAAGUGAUUGACAAGAUUGAUCAAUCGGAGUUUGACGGCUUUGAGUAUGUGAAUCCAUUGUUGAUGUCUAUGGAGGACUGUGUGUAGACUAGGUGGCGCUGUCAUAUAUACCGAGCAUUCCGAUUGGAUGUUGAAGCUGCUUCCUAGUGGUUGAUGUAAAGGCUGUGUGUGGAUAAUCCUGGAGGAAUUUGAUGUACUGCUUUGAGAAGAAACUUUAUUAAGUGUGAUCAAUGCGAUAUCAAGUGUUGUAAAUGUCGUGUUGAGAAUCUAUGAACAGGAUAUCUGGUGUCAUCAUUGUGAUAUUGAUGCUCUCAUUAUAAUAACAGUAUGUAUCACCAUUUAGACUUACAGGUGAUAUGGGUACAAUAACUUGAUAUCAGGAUGACAACAGUUAAACACUGAUAACAUGAUAUCAAUUGCCAUCAAAUAAUAUCAGGUUGAUGUGUAUCACUGAGAUGUGGCAAUGAUAUCAUUUACAGAUUGUAUCAUUAACAUGGCGUUACCAUGAUGUUAACAUACUUUUGGAGCCAUGUCAAACAGCGAUCAAGACAUCAACAUGAUGUGAUAUCAGCUUCUAUUUGCGUGAUAUCACCAGCCCCUACUGAUGACCUGAACAAGUUAUUUCCUACCACAAUGGCGCACAAUAACAUUUCACUGAAACUGUAGUGUUUGCGACGUACAUGGAGAGGCAAGCAGCCUGUUAUGUUGCUGUGUCAUUGAAAAAAAUGUCUUGCAGUGCAAUUCUUUACACUGUAUAUGUAGCUUUUAGCAACAAAUAU
rnacentral:misc_RNA from 1 species